AACCAGCUCUCCGAGUGGUAGGGAUAAUUAUUGGGCUUAAAGCGUUCGUAGCCGGCUUAGCAAGUCUCCUGUUAAAUUCAGCGACCCAAUCGUUGAGCCGCGGGGGAUACUACUAGGCUAGGAGGCGGGAGAGGUCAACGGUAUUCUCGAGGUAGGGUGAAAUCCUAUAAUCCCGGGAGGACCACCAGUGGCGAAGGCUGUCGACUAGAACGCGCUCGACGGUGAGGGACGAAAGCGUGGGGGAGCGAACCGGAUUAGAUACCCGGGUAGUCCCAGCUGUAAACUAUGCGGGCUAGGUGUUGGGGUGGCUACGGGCCACUUCAGUGCCGCAGGAAAGCCAUUAAGCCCGCCGCCUGGGGAUACGGCCGCAAGGCUGAAACUUAAAGGAAUUGGACGGGGGAGCGACCACAAGGCGUGAAGCUUGCGGUUC
rnacentral:rRNA from 1 species